UGACUCAAUCCUUGAUGAUUGAUGUAAUGAUAUCAAUUUUGCUUGCUUAAUGGCUACCUCUGUUUCCUCUACUAUGCUUAUUUUGUCCAAGACUUGUGAGAGUUGAGAAACUGAGAACUCUGGUUUAGUUUCAUUGUGCUGAUAUGGUGUAUUAGAACUGCUAUUUGGCUUUUCCGCUUUGGCAUAUGUAGGUUAAUUAUUCUGAAUUUUGGAUAAUCUGCUUCAACCUUCAAUGUUUCAUUGCUUCUUGCACCUUAUUCUUGUUGAGGUGAUACCGUAUUUAACCAUUUGUACUACUGUCCUGAGUCCUGUGGAAACAGUGGUGAUUCAACCAAGGAACCAAAGCUAUAAAGGUACAUUUUCUCUUACCAACUUAUUUUUGUAUUGCACUAUUGCCAACUUAAAAGUUGACAAUUUUAAUUAUACUAGCUUAACUGACUAUAUGAUUAUUUUUCCAUUGCAUUGCUGGCAUGCUGCUUGUUGAUGAUGAGCUUCUUCACUGAGCUGAAGGCCUAAGCCCUGGAAUUGGAGGUGCAAGUUGCUAUGUUCAGCCUUUGGCAUGUUGGCACCAUCAAACAAAAGGUCGCAACAGAAAAUGGAUGGAUUGGAUCCAUCAUGGAGAGAUGAUUUCCUGUUCAUCUUUUAAACGGACACAAAUUUCAUUUAAAGGUUGCUGUGGUUCGUCAAACUAAGUGUAAUCUGCUGCCGCUGUGCUCUACAAAGCUCAUUGUUUCAACGUUGUGUAUUUGACGGCUACUGACAAAAGGACCAGGGCAGAAAAAAAAUGGAGCCUACAUGAAGAAAUAUGCAAUAUAGUAGUAUAACUAUAAGACUUCUGUUAUUGCAUCCAUGUUUUUGUUAACUGAUCAUGCAAUCUUUAGCUCAUAACUUGUGGUAGAAAAAUUGAUUUCAUGUGUUUAAGAGUGUGAUGCGAGGCUGAAAACACUCUGUAUAAAUGGUUGAUACUAUAUUUUUUUAGCUGUACUGACGUUCCUAUUCAAACUUUCUACUACCACUGUC